GCCUCACUGCCCUGGGGGAAGGUAUACCACCCUGAAGCUGAGUUUCCAGGAGGGGCAAGAGAAUCUAGGCUUUAGCUACAGUAGAACUGCAGAGUAGAUCUCAGAAAGGACUUCUCAACCUGCAUAUCCAUCUCCCUUGAAUACUAGUUCCUUGGGUAUGCUUUACACAGCUUAAAGGUGUUACCACCUCCAAUAUAACAAGACUAGAAAUUUGCAAAUCACCCUUAGUGCUCCGCUCCCUUCACCAUCCAACUGGC
rnacentral:lncRNA from 10 species